UAAGAAGGGAGCUAGCGUUGUUCGGAAUUACUGGGCGUAAAGGGCGCGUAGGCGGUUUCGAUAGUCAGGCGUGAAAUCCCCAGGCUCAACCUGGGAAUUGCGCUUGAUACUGCGAGACUUGAGUGAGGGAGAGGAUAGUGGAAUUCCCAGUGUAGAGGUGAAAUUCGUAGAUAUUGGGAAGAACACCAGUGGCGAAGGCGGCUAUCUGGACCUCAACUGACGCUGAGGCGCGAAAGCGUGGGGAGCAAACAGG
rnacentral:rRNA from 1 species